rnacentral:rRNA from 1 species
GACGUAGGGCGCGAGCGUUGUCCGGAUUUAUUGGGCGUAAAGAGCUCGUAGGCGGCUUGUCGCGUCGAAUGUGAAAACUCGGGGCUCAACUCCGAGCUUGCAUUCGAUACGGGCAGGCUAGAGUUCGGUAGGGGAGACUGGAAUUCCUGGUGUAGCGGUGAAAAUGCGCAGAUAUCAGGAGGAACACCGGUGGCGAAGGCGGGUCUCUGGGCCGAUACUGACGCUGAGGAGCGAAAGCGUGGGGAGCGAACAGG